AAACAACCAAUGAUGGAGCAUAGUAAUUAAGGACCUUCGUGAAAAGAGAGGAAAUGCCCCCGGCUGAAAGCAUUUCUACAUGAAUCUUAAUGAAAGAACACUCCGUAGGCUUCUCUCUGAAAAGGCAUCGUCUUAGUAGGAGGAGAACGUAUGCAGGCGUUAACUGUCAAAGAGGAAAUGCAUAUGAUUUUUUGCAUUUCAACUAGGGUGGCACCGCGGGAAACUACAAACUCUCGUCCCUUGU
rnacentral:ncRNA from 2 species